GUGGGGAAUAUUGGGCAAUGGGCGAAAGCCUGACCCAGCAACGCCGCGUGAAGGAAGAAGGUUUUCGGAUCGUAAACUUCUAUCCUUGGUGAAGAUAAUGACGGUAGCCAAGAAGGAAGCCCCGGCUAACUACGUGCCAGCAGCCGCGGUAAUACGUAGGGGGCAAGCGUUGUCCGGAAUGAUUGGGCGUAAAGGGCGCGUAGGCGGCCUGGUAAGUCUGGAGUGAAAGUCCUGCUUUUAAGGUGGGAAUUGCUUUGGAUACUGGCGGGCUUGAGUGCAGGAGAGGUAAGUGGAAUUCCCGGUGUAGCGGUGAAAUGCGUAGAGAUCGGGAGGAACACCAGUGGCGAAGGCGACUUACUGGACUGUAACUGACGCUGAGGCGCGAAAGUGUGGGGAGCAAACAGGAUUAGAUACCCGUGUAGUCC
rnacentral:rRNA from 1 species